AUUGAACGCUGGCGGCAGGCCUAACACAUGCAAGUCGAACGGUAACAGGAAGAGGCUUGCUUCUUUGCUGACGAGUGGCGGACGGGUGAGUAAUGUCUGGGAAACUGCCUGAUGGAGGGGGAUAACUACUGGAAACGGUAGCUAAUACCGCAUAACGUCGCAAGACCAAAGAGGGGGACCUUCUGGCCUCUUGCCAUCGGAUGUGCCCAGAUGGGAUUAGCUAGUAGGUGGGGUAACGGCUCACCUAGGCGACGAUCCCUAGCUGGUCUGAGAGGAUGACCAGCCACACUGGAACUGAGACACGGUCCAGACUCCUACGGGAGGCAGCAGUGGGGAAUAUUGCACAAUGGGCGCAAGCCUGAUGCAGCCAUGCCGCGUGUAUGAAGAAGGCCUUCGGGUUGUAAAGUACUUUUAGCGGGGAGGAAGGGAGUAAAGUUAAUACCUUGGCUCAUUGACGUUACCCGCAGAAGAAGCACCGGCUAACUCCGUG
rnacentral:rRNA from 1 species